CUUGCUUUGGCUCAAAGCCAUGGAACUAGGGGAGCUGUAAUAUUACAAGCCUUGGGCCUUCUCUGCCAAAGAGGACUGGGGCCUCACCAAACUACAACUCCCACAGUUACAUCACAUCAUAUUGAGCCUUGGAAGUUAAAGUGGUUCAGAGUGCAUUAAUCUUACUGUGUGUUUACAGGGAGAAUGAGGCUCACUGCCAUCUCUGAUCAUGGGCCACUUUGCAGGGUUCUCAACUUUCCCAUCAUCAGCAAAAUGGGUACAUAUUUCUCUGUGUUAACCAAAAUAAUAGCCAUUCCCACAUUCAGCCAGCAGAGGGGGUGAAAGAGCAAUCAGGAUCCAAGUUUUCCCUUGGAGUUGCUUCCCACAUGGCUCAAUAUGGCAGCCCCCAGGGAGCAGUCCCAGCGUAGGCUGGGGAAGAAGCAAAGCCUGGGGAAGAAGCAGAGCUUAUUUUUUUUUAACUCUGCCCAGCUGUUUCCUGGGUGCUCAGGCUGGCAGCAUGGCCUGAAUCUUACUGCUGAUUCCCAGACAUAUUCACACUUCAUGGUUCUGCUUAGACUAAGGACCUCAUCAUAUGAAAAUCCAGAAGCCAGGAAACUGUGGGACAGCAAGGGAAACCAUGGGGUGGCAUCCAGCUUUAUUACCUUACCAACUAAUUGUGUUUCCUGGCUGCCCCUUGGCUUUCUCUUAUGCUGUCCUUGACUUGUUAAAUGAGGAAAUCACCUGUCUCCUCAGAGAUUCUUCUGAGCAUGCUGCCAAAACGGAGCCAGGGCGGAGCCUUGCCGGAAGUAGUCCUGAAUCAUAUGAUGAGCUCUGAUGGGCUUCAUCCCAGUUCUGUCUCGACAACACUCUAGAAUGGGGAAAAAACUCAUCGGAUGAGGUCCUAAAAAUGAAACCAGUAUCCAUGCUUCAGCCAGUCAUAGGUCAUUUUUGUUGCUGUCGCCUGCAUGUUUGUCACGCAUUCUAUCAAUUAAAAAAAAUACUUAUCUGUGUAA
rnacentral:lncRNA from 11 species